CCUCUGCUUUUAAGGCAGUAUGAUGGACAGAAAUUCAGCAGGUUAAGUUUUCCCCAUCACUCGCUGGGCUGUGAACUUUAUAGGGUCAAGAGCUUGUUGAAAUUGCUGCUCAUCAUGCAGUUGUUUAAGGGAGCAGAAAUCCUCUGAGAAAGAAAGUGGCUAUGUAUUCUUUGGGGUCAAAGAGUUCAAGUGAGAUAUCUUUUAAGCGUUCACACAAUGGGGAAAACCGAAUGCAACCGAGGAGGAGCGAGUUCCUGAUUGUGCAGAAAAGGAAGUGAAUGCAGCUAGUCAUAGAGGCAUGAGAAAAGGUGAACUUGCAGAAAUUCCUUCUUUUGCAACUAUUAAAGGCACACGAGCUUUGUUAA